GACGAACGCUGGCGGCGUGCUUAACACAUGCAAGUCGAACGGAAAGGCCCUGCUUUUGUGGGGUGCUCGAGUGGCGAACGGGUGAGUAACACGUGAGUAACCUGCCCUUGACUUUGGGAUAACUUCAGGAAACUGGGGCUAAUACCGGAUAGGAGCUCCUGCUGCAUGGUGGGGGUUGGAAAGUUUCGGCGGUUGGGGAUGGACUCGCGGCUUAUCAGCUUGUUGGUGGGGUAGUGGCUUACCAAGGCUUUGACGGGUAGCCGGCCUGAGAGGGUGACCGGCCACAUUGGGACUGAGAUACGGCCCAGACUCCUACGGGAGGCAGCAGUGGGGAAUAUUGCACAAUGGGCGGAAGCCUGAUGCAGCAACGCCGCGUGGGGGAUGACGGCCUUCGGGUUGUAAACCGCUUUCGCCUGUGACGAGGCGUGAGUGACGGUAAUGGGUAAAGAAGCACCGGCUAACUACGUG
rnacentral:rRNA from 1 species